UACGUAGGGGGCAAGCGUUGUCCGGAUUUAUUGGGCGUAAAGAGCUCGUAGGCGGUUGGGCAAGUCACGUGUGAAAUCUCCACGCUCAACGUGGAGGCGCCACGUGAGACUGCCCUGACUCGAGUCCGGUAGGGGAGCGUGGAAUUCCCGGUGUAGCGGUGAAAUGCGCAGAGAUCGGGAGGAACACCCGUAGCGAAGGCGGCGCUCUGGGCCGGUACUGACGCUGAGGCGCGAAAGCGUGGGUAGCAAACAGG
rnacentral:rRNA from 1 species